UACGGAGGAUGCGAGCGUUAUCCGGAUUUAUUGGGUUUAAAGGGUGCGUAGGCUGUCCGUUAAGUCAGCGGUAAAAUUGCGGGGCUCAACCCCGUCGAGCCGUUGAAACUGGCAGACUUGAGUUGGCGAGAAGUACGCGGAAUGCGCGGUGUAGCGGUGAAAUGCAUAGAUAUCGCGCGGAACUCCGAUUGCGAAGGCAGCGUACCGGCGCCACACUGACGCUGAGGCUCGAAAGCGUGGGGAGCAAACAGG
rnacentral:rRNA from 1 species